CCUAGUCAUAAAAAAUUUAGAGGAAUGGAAUGAUGGGAAAUAGGCCCUCACGUGAUAGGCAAGCGGUAGAUUUUACUCGGCUCGCUUCGGUGGCUUCGGUUUCGUCUGCUGCGGGGGUUUCAGAAUAUGCGCACAUACUCAGCGCGGCAAACGCGCGCCGAGGUUAGUGAAGGAAUUCGAGUGUGUGAAGCAGUUGAGUCUCGCCGCCUAAUUAGCAGACAGGCGCCAAGGCUGUUGCGAACGAAGGCGUCGGUUAACCGGCAUUGCGCCGAACAACCCGGGAGGACCACCUCAAGGACGACUGGUUGCGUUUCGGUAUGGUUUCAGGGAAACGAGGGAACCUUUCGCCCUGCAAACGUGUGAAGGCAACCAAGCCGCCCUUCCGACGACGAUUCGUUGCGUUUGACGACGUCUUCUGGGAAACAAUGAUGCCUUUCGCCCCCGCAAAAUGUGCACGCGAUUAAGCGAGCGUACAGGAUCCGAAGCGACUGUCCCUACGGGAAAAAAAUGCGUCCCGUCUUGUGCCCAAGGAUGGACUGGCGAGCCGGAGACUCCGAACAUAUUUAGGGCCGUGCCGGCCCGUAGCGCAGUCGACACUGUUGCUCGAGAUCUGCUCAAAGUCUUCGGCCUCUUAGCAGACCGGCGAGAACUCCCGUCAGCAGUAGGCGCACCUGCGUGAUGAAGUGUUUUGUGCCAGGAUGCCCUAAUCGAACAGAAAAUCGGCGCGAUGGCCUGUCCUUCCAUAGUCUCCCAGUCCAAGGCCCUCCAGGACGCUCAAGGGUGAAGCUUCUGCAGCACUGCCUGCACACAACCCAGCGACACCUCGAACAGCAAGGCAUACUAUGCCACAGCCAGCAGAAGACGCACCUGAAAAGGCCUUUCUGAGGCAUGAAGUAUGGCGUUACACAAUUACAAACUGCGACCAAGAAGAAGAUGAAGACUCUACGGCAAUCCCAUCAACACCUUUUUCAAAAGGUUGCUCAUCUCGAAAAUGUCAUAGAAGAUUUAUCUGACAAUCGCAUUCUAGGAAAUGAGGAUGUCGCCAUAUUGCAGAGUCUUGUUGGGGCAAAAAAAAGACUUGCUCAUGCGUCAACUGCCACAUAAGUCUGGUGCCAGCAAUGUCACCCGCUUACUCGCCAGAGCUCAGGCCAUUUGCACUGACUUUGCAUUUUUAUUCCCCUAGAGCAUACAGAUAUGUACGAGCUGUUUUCAACACAUGCCUCCUGCAUCUAAAGACACUGUGUAAAUGAUAUCAAUCCAUUGAUAGGGCUGCUGACUUUUCAAAAGAGGAAAUGACUGCAUUGGCUAUCAAGGUAAAGCACGGCUCUCCACAUUAUGCAAUCUGGUUGUGGAUGAGAUGGCCAUUCAAAGAAGUAGUGUGGGAUGGGAUAAGCUUCCAUGGAUAUGUUGACAUGGGCAUUGAUGUCAAUGAUGACAGCUUUCCAGUUGCCUAAGAUGCAUUUGUUUUAAUGCUUGUUGCAAUCAAUGGCAGAUGGAAGCUGCCGAUUGGCUACUUUCUAGUGCAUGGCCUUGGUGGUGAGCAGAGGCGCAAUUUGGUGCUGCAAGCUGCUAGCUUCACUCACGAAAAAGGUGCACACAUUUUGAGUUUGAGCUGCGAUGGCGCUGCAGCGAAUUUGUCAUUGCUGCACAGCCUUGGCUGCAAGAUGGACCUGACUGAGCUGGAUGCUUCUUUUCCACAUCCAGUGACAAAAAAAGCUUUUCUUUGCCAUGUUGGAUCCCUGUCACAUGUUGAAGCUACUGCGGCACACCCUGUUUGAUAAAAAGGCUAUUGUGAUGCGAACAAACAGUUCAUAUUGUUGAAACACAUUGAUGAUCUGCAUGAAAUCCAGUACACAGAGGGCCUACAUUUGUCAAACAAACUUAGACAAGCACAUAUUACCUGGAAAAACCAGCCCAUGAAAGUCUCAUUGUUGGCUCAAACGUUUAGUCAAUCGGUAGCAGAUGCUCUUAGUGACUGCAGAGCUCAAAAAAUUCAAUGUUUUCAAAUUCCUUGCCAACAGAAGAGUUUAUCAGACAUGUCAACAACGCAUUUGACAUUUUAAAUUCAAGACAUCCAAGGCAAGAAGAAUAGAAAGGACCGCUGUGUCCUGAAAAUGUGGCUCCUGUCACUGUGUAUGUCAAAGAACUUAUGGCCUACUUUUGCUCGCUUAGGGAGUCUGCAGCUGGUAAACUAAUGACAGGGACCACCCAAAAGACAGGCUUCAUUCGCUUUGUGGUGUGCUUAGACAACCGUCUAUACAACCACUUGGUUACAGAAAAUGACCUAUUGGCAUAUCUUUCGACUUCCAAGCUCAGUCAGGACCACCUUGAGUUACUUUUUUGCUGCAAUAAAAUCAUUUGGGGGCUGCAAUCACAACCCAACAGCAAAGCAGUUUGCAGCAGCAUUGAAGCGUCUGAUAGUUCGUAAUGAGGUCAAGGACAUUGAUGGCGGAAAUUGCUUUCUAUUGGAACACAUCGAAAUUCUCUUUGUACGCUCCUUUGAAAAAACCAUACUCCAUCGAUGUAAUUAACCUCACUGCCCCUCAGAGAAGCCCUGCAGCCAGUGAACCACUCACAGAAGCAAUUUUACAGGAUCAUGGUUACUCAGCUACCCAGGCAGGGUGUCUGAGCUUGGGUGCCUGCGGCUCGCAGUACUGGAAGAAUUGCUAGACAAGUUUUCUCGUGGGUGAAUUAUGUUCAUGAUGGCCCACAAUUAAUUCCUUUAUCCAUCAACUUGAGCUGUCCCACCAGGUUUUAUGUUAAGGCAUUUAUUUGUUUUUUGAGUGACUUUGUAAAGUGCAUAUAUUGUUCAAGAGCGUUGUAUGCAGAUGUCAAACUUUUAUAGAGGGAAAAUUUGAUACCUUAUUGUAAGUUCUGCAAGUACAUGUUUGUUGUCUUGCUGAAUGCUGUAGCUUGAAUCGCCUGCAUGCAAAUUAUGCUUAAACAAUUGUUCUGUUCAGCCCAAGCUAAACAGUGUGGACAAUGACGGUAGGUUAGCUGGCCUACCUUUCACUAGAGCAAACUGUGUUAUGACAUGGACAUGCUGUGAAUGCUCUCAAUGGAUUAUGUGUGAGCUAGGUAUACGCUUGAGGAUGACAAUGUUUUUUUAAUGUUUAUCCUGUAUGUCUUUUACCUGACCUUUGUGGAAAUUUGCCACUGCCACCUGGAAUACCGUUGGUGUUACUAUUUAAAUAAUUUAAUGUGCUCACUCUGUUCACUUGCUUUACAAUAGCCUUUUAUGAUGCCAGAUUCACUGUAACCACAAACAUUUGGUGUAUACCACUCAAUAAGUGUUUUAAAUACUGUGAAAUAUUCAUUCAUUUGAGGUUCACAACGUAAUAGAGCCGUCACUUCCUAAUUGUGGUGUGUUGGCUCAGCUUCGACGGUGCUAACUUUUUUUUGUGGGUAUGUGAUACAACAUAAGCUUUGUUGUACAUUUUACUUGCAGCAAAAUGCAUUGUAUUUUAAUGUUGACAUACUUACUUUGUGGGUCUGACCUCACAUCAAUUGUUUCAACUUUGACUUUGUGAACUACCACUCCUUUUUUAAUUUCUGCAUAUGUAUUGCUUACUUUUCUGACAAGCACAAUCACCGAAGCUUUUCGAUAUUUGUGAGGACAGCGCAGAUAUAAAUAUUAUGCAAUUAUAGCCCUGUAUUGAAGGCGUUGCAUACAAGGCAUUGUAAGCAAAACUGCAG